GAUGAACGCUAGCGGGAGGCCUAACACAUGCAAGCCGAGCGGUAGAGAUUCUUCGGAAUCUUGAGAGCGGCGUACGGGUGCGGAACACGUGUGCAACCUGCCUUUAUCAGGGGGAUAGCCUUUCGAAAGGAAGAUUAAUACCCCAUAAUAUAUUUGAUGGCAUCAUUAGAUAUUGAAAGCUUUGUCGGAUAGAGAUGGGCACGCGCAAGAUUAGAUAGUUGGUGAGGUAACGGCUCACCAAGUCGAUGAUCUUUAGGGGGCCUGAGAGGGUGAUCCCCCACACUGGUACUGAGACACGGACCAGACUCCUACGGGAGGCAGCAGUGAGGAAUAUUGGACAAUGGGUUAGCGCCUGAUCCAGCCAUCCCGCGUGAAGGACGACGGCCCUAUGGGUUGUAAACUUCUUUUGUACAGGGAUAAACCUACUCUCGUGAGAGUAGCUGAAGGUACUGUACGAAUAAGCACCGGCUAACUCCGUG
rnacentral:rRNA from 1 species